UACGUAGGGUGCAAGCGUUGUCCGGAAUUAUUGGGCGUAAAGAGCUCGUAGGCGGUUCGUCGCGUCGGCUGUGAAAACCCGGAGCUCAACUCCAGGCCUGCAGUCGAUACGGGCGGACUCGAGUUCGGCAGGGGAGACUGGAAUUCCUGGUGUAGCGGUGAAAUGCGCAGAUACCAGGAAGAACACCCGUGGCUAAGGCGGUUCUCUAGUACGGUACUGACGCUGAGACGCGAAAGCGUGGGGAGCGAACAGG
rnacentral:rRNA from 1 species